AUGCACGCUGGCGGCGUGCCUAAUACAUGCAAGUCGAGCGAACAGAUGAGGAGCUUGCUCCUCUGACGUUAGCGGCGGACGGGUGAGUAACACGUGGAUAACCUACCUAUAAGACUGGGAUAACUUCGGGAAACCGGAGCUAAUACCGGAUAAUAUAUUGAACCGCAUGGUUCAAUAGUGAAAGACGGUUUUGCUGUCACUUAUAGAUGGAUCCGCGCCGCAUUAGCUAGUUGGUAAGGUAACGGCUUACCAAGGCAACGAUGCGUAGCCGACCUGAGAGGGUGAUCGGCCACACUGGAACUGAGACACGGUCCAGACUCCUACGGGAGGCAGCAGUAGGGAAUCUUCCGCAAUGGGCGAAAGCCUGACGGAGCAACGCCGCGUGAGUGAUGAAGGUCUUCGGAUCGUAAAACUCUGUUAUUAGGGAAGAACAAAUGUGUAAGUAACUAUGCACGUCUUGACGGUACCUAAGCAGAAAGCCCGGCUAACUACGUG
rnacentral:rRNA from 1 species